AUUGAACGCUGGCGGCAGGCUUAACACAUGCAAGUCGAACGAGUGGCGGACGGGUGAGUAAUAUCUGGGAACGUGCCCGAUAGAGGGGGAUAACUACUCGAAAGAGUAGCUAAUACCGCAUACUAUUGGAUCGGCCCAGAUGGGAUUAGCUAGUGGGUGGGGUAAAGGCUCACCAGGGCGACGAUCCCUAGCUGGUCUGAGAGGACGACCAGCCACACUGGGAAUGAGACACGGCCCAGACGCCUACGGGAGGCAGCAGUGGGGAAUAUUGGACAAUGGGGGAAAGCCUGAUGCAGCCAUGCCGCGUGUAUGAUGAAGGCCUUCGGGUUGUAAAGUACUUUUGGCGGAGAAGCGGUAUCUGCAGAAGAAGCACCGGCUAACUACGUGCCAGCAGCCGCGGUAAUAC
rnacentral:rRNA from 1 species